GACAGAGGGACCCGGGGAUGAGCCAGGAAGGAUGGAGGGAAGGGGAGAGGGAGGCGAGCCUGUCCUGCCCGGGAUGGGAGGCUGGGAGAGGAGCAACUCCUAGCGCACCUUUGGAGAUGCCUGAUGUAGUUGCGGACCCUUCUUGGCCUGGACCCUAGAAUGAGAUACUUGGAGCAGACCUGAGCCAGCCGGACCUGCAGCCCACUGCAGACCAGCCCUAGAUAAGCCAGACUCCAUCAACCAUCAACCAUCACAGAAUUAUUAUUUGAAGUUCCUGAGCUUUUGAUACUCACUAUAUGGCAGUAGUUGGAAGUUAUAGAAAGUGUUUAUUAACAUUAAAAUGAAUAUUCUCACAUAA